rnacentral:rRNA from 1 species
GACGAACGCUGGCGGCGUGCUUAACACAUGCAAGUGGAGCGACGAACCAGGCUUCGGCCUGGGGCAAAGCCGCGAACGGGUGAGUAACACGUGGGUAACCUGCCCCGAUGACCGGGACAACUCGAGGAAACUCGGGCUAAUACCGGAUGUGCUCGUACUACAUCAGUGGUACGUGCAAAGGUAGCUUCGGCCUCCGCAUCGGGAUGGGCCCGCGGCCACUUAGCUUGUUGGUGAGGUAACGGCUCACCAAGGCUGCGAUGGGUAGCUGGUCUGAGAGGACGGAUCAGCCACACUGGGACGUGAGACACGGCCCACGACUCCUACGGGAGGCAGCAGUGGGGAAUCUUGCGCAAUGCGCGAAAGCGUGACGCAGCAACGCC